AGUGAACGCUGGCGGUAGGCCUAAUACAUGCAAGUCGAACGGCAGCACAGUAAGAGCUCGCCUUUACGGGUGGCGAGUGGCGGAUGGGUGAGGCAUAGAUCGGAAUCCACUUUUUCGUGGGGGAUAACGUAGGGAAACUUAUGCUAACACCGCACACGAACUACGGGUGAAUUCUGGGGAUCUUCGGACCUUGCGCAACUGAUUGAGCUGGUGCCGGAUUAGCUAGUUGGCGGGGUAAAGGCCCACCAAGGCGACGAUCCGUAGCUGGUCUGAGAGGAUGAUCGGCCACACUGGAACUGAGACACGGUCCAGACUCCUACGGGAGGCAGCAGUGGGGAAUAUUGGGCAAUGGGCGCAAGCCUGAUCCAGCCAUACCGCGUGAGUGAAGAAGGCCUUCGGGUUGUAAAGCCCUUUUAUUAGGAAAGAAAAGCAGCAGGUUAAUACCCCGCUGUUCUGACGGUACCCAAAGAGUAAGCACCGGCUAACUUCGUG
rnacentral:rRNA from 1 species